UGGGGGAUGGUCUAACGGCAAGACAGCGGACUCUGACUCCGCUUAUCGGGGUUCGAAUCCCUGUUCCCCAG
rnacentral:tRNA from 1 species